AUGCAUCAGCCUUCUCUCCACUUGGUCGCCAUCAUGCUCCUGAUUCCUUGGCCCUUCAGUUCAGUGCUUCUGUGCGCACCUGUCAGUGUGCUUGUCCCUGGCAUGAGACUCACUCCUGACAAAACUCUCACCUCGGACCAAGGUUCGUUCGCCUUAGGCUUCUUUACCCCCUCAAAUUCAACUGAAAAUGCAUAUGUUGGCAUAUGGUUCAACGAUAUCCCGUUGAGCACCGUCGUCUGGGUUGCCAACCGUGAUAAUCCGAUCACCGAUGCUUCAUCCGCGGUGCUUAGUAUGACCGAAAACUCUAGCCUUGUGUUGUCCGAAACCAAUGGCCACCACAUACUUUGGAUGGCAAAAACAAUCACUGGCGGCAACUCUUCAGCCAAACUUCUCAACAAUGGAAAUCUUGUAGUCCUAUCAUCAUACGGUACCAUGUUAUGGCAGAGCUUCGAAAACCCAAGCGACACCGUCCUUGUUGGCAUGCCUAUGCGGACGACCCACAAGACACACCCACCAUGGCGGAUGAUCUCUUGGAAGGGCCCUGAAGACCCGUCAAAAGGCAGGUUCUCUGUUGGGAAUGACCUUGACACUCCCCUGCAGUCCUUCGUCUGGAAUGGGUCAGUGCCAUACUUCCGUGCUGCUGUGAGGAACGGCUAUGUAUCCUCCAACGUGGGCCUCCAGGCCGUUAGUCCACUCAUGUAUUUGACGAUUUACAUGGGCACCGAUGGUGAGACCUAUUCAACAUUUGGACUAUCAGAUGGCUCCUCCAGGAUAUUUUACAAGGUUGACUACUCUGGAAAGACCACGAUAUGGAGAUGGAAUACCAGCUUAACAGAUUGGACCCUCAUUGCACCGUGGCCAGCUUACCGGUGCAAUCUCUAUGGAUACUGUGGUGCAUAUGGCUACUGUGACAACACAGAGGCAAUUUCCACAUGCAAGUGCCUUGAUGGAUUUGACCCUAGUAACAAAACAGAGUGGGUUAGAGGCAAUUUUUCUCAUGGUUGCCGGCGAAAGGAGGAACUGCAGUGCGGUGGAGAGGCCAAUUUCUUGACCUAG
rnacentral:rRNA from 1 species